rnacentral:rRNA from 1 species
CCUACGGGUGGCUGCAGUGGGGAAUUUUGGACAAUGGGGGCAACCCUGAUCCAGCCAUGCCGCGUGAGUGAAGAAGGCCUUCGGGUUGUAAAGCUCUUUCGGCCGGGAAGAAAUCGUGCGGGCCAAUACCCUGCAUGGAUGACGGUACCGGAAGAAGAAGCACCGGCUAACUACGUGCCAGCAGCCGCGGUAAUACGUACGGUGCGAGCGUUAAUCGGACGUGCUGGGCGUAAGCCAUGCGCAAGCGGCGAAAUCCCCGGGCUUAACCUGGGAACUGCGUUUGUGACUGUGGUGCUUGAGUGCGGCAGAGGGGGGUGGAAUUCCACGUGUAGCAGUGAAAUGCGUAGAGAUGUGGAGGAACACCGAUGGCGAAGGCAGCCCCCUGGGUCGACACUGACGCUCAUGCACGAAAGCGUGGGGAGCAAACAGGAUUAGAUACCCGAGUAGUC